UCGACCUGAGUCCUGCCU
rnacentral:rRNA from 1 species